rnacentral:snRNA from 1 species
GAGCUUGACUCUAGUCCGA